AAUAAUGAAGCAAUAUUUUGCAUUUAAUUUCGACUUAAAAAUUAGAGUUUUUUACUCCUUAUUA
rnacentral:tRNA from 1 species